GACCUAACCCCACAGUGCCUGCUUUAAUCCCGUAUGGGUGCGGCUGUCCCCUAAACACCAGAGAAAUAACAUAUGAAACCAGAUAAAGCUCAGGGUCUUCAGCUCUUGCAGGCCUGGGCAGCUAAGGAAAAGGAAUUUGGAGACCUAAAGUACUUUUUCUUCAGAAGCAUAGCACUCUGUGAAUGUGGUCAUGAUGGCUGAGGAUAGAGGUGGAACAGGUGCCAUGCUGCUAUCACAAGACGGAGACCACAUACUCUAAGAAUGCUGAACAGAAAAAUAAAAGGAGUCUGAGUCCCUGAUGACAUAAUAGAGCUACCAUAACCACCAUGGAUAUUGUCUAGGUGCUUUGUAAUAUAAAAAGAGUAAACCCUCUAAUUGGUUCAACCACUGUGUUUGCAUGUUAUUUACUGCAUGCAGUCAAACUCAAAUCCCGAUUGUU
rnacentral:lncRNA from 1 species